rfam:Ascoidea rubescens DSM 1968 unplaced genomic scaffold ASCRTscaffold_16, whole genome shotgun sequence.
GGUCUCUUGGCCAAGUGGUGAAGGCACUCUGCUGGUUGCCGGAGAGAUCAACAGUUCGAUCCUGUUAGAGACUC